rnacentral:rRNA from 1 species
UACAGAGGUCUCAAGCGUUGUUCGGAUUCAUUGGGCGUAAAGGGUGCGUAGGCGGCGCGGUAAGUCGGGUGUGAAAUCUCGGGGCUUAACUCCGAAACUGCAUUCGAUACUGCCGUGCUUGAGGACUGGAGAGGAGACUGGAAUUUACGGUGUAGCGGUGAAAUGCGUAGAUAUCGUAAGGAAGACCAGUGGCGAAGGCGGGUCCCUGGACCGGUUCUGACGCUGGUGCGCGAAAGCUAGGGGAGCAAACGGG